CCCGAUGAUGAUGGUUAAAAGCGCUUAUCGGUGACGAGCCUCUACCUGCUGAGG
rnacentral:ncRNA from 16 species